CCCGAACACGGUAGUUAAGCUUCUCUGCGCCAAUGGUAGUUGGGGGCUUCCCCCUGCGAGAGUAGGUCGCUGCCGGGC
rnacentral:rRNA from 1 species